UGGGUAUUUAGUUUAUUCUAAAACAAAUGUUUUGAAAGCAUUAGUAGGAAAAUUUUUCCAAUACCC
rnacentral:tRNA from 1 species